rnacentral:rRNA from 1 species
UACGUAGGUGACAAGCGUUGUCCGGAUUUACUGGGCGUAAAGAGCGCGCAGGCGGUCGAUCAAGUCGAGUGUGAAAGCCCCCGGCUCAACUGGGGAGGGUCAUUCGAUACUGAUCGACUCGAAGGCAGGAGAGGGUAGUGGAAUUCCCGGUGUAGUGGUGAAAUGCGUAGAUAUCGGGAGGAACACCAAUGGCGAAGGCAGCUCGCUGGGACGGUACUGACGCUGAGAAGCGAAAGCAUGGGGAGCGAACAGG